rnacentral:misc_RNA from 1 species
CGCACCUUGCGCCCCUUGGUAUUCCGAGGGGCAUGCCUGUUUGAGUGUCAUUAAAUUCUCAACCUUACUAGCUUUUACUAGCUAUGUAAUGGCUUGGAAGUGGGGGUCUUUUGCUGGUUUCGCAAGAAGUCAGCUCCCCUAAAAUGCAUUAGCCGGUGCCCCGCGUGGACCGUCUAUUGGUGUGAUAAUUAUCUACGCCGUUAGACGUCUGCUAUUAAAAGGGAUGUGCUGCUUCUAAUCGUCCGUCUUGGACAAUUAAUGACUAUUUGACCUCAAAUCAGGUAGGACUACCCGCUGAACUUAA